CAAAGCACUAAGAUCUUUUGAUUAAAACUUAAAGAGCAUGGCGGUCACAAAAAAGUUCAGGGGAACUUACCAAGUAAUAGACAACCCACAAGUCACCCUUCUUAAUUUUACAGUUUGUAUACCGCCGUCUAAGUACUGCUUAUGGUAGUGCUAAAAUAAAAACUAGAAGGACAGGCCAUGGUGCAGCUAAUAAUUAAGUUUUAGGCGAGUUACAAUAAAUCCUUUUUUUUCCAGAAACUUGUAAAGUUUUAAUGAAGUGGACUUGAAAGUAAAAUUUAAAAGAAAUACAAUUUGAAUUUAUUAUUUUGUGGUGC
rnacentral:rRNA from 1 species